UACGAGGGGGGCAAAUGUUGUUCGGAAUCACUGGGCGUAAAGGGCGCGUAGGCGGGUUUCUAAGUCAGGUGUUUAAUCCCGGGGCCCAACCCCGGACAGGCACUUGAAACUGGGAAUCUUGAAUAGGGGAGAGGUCAGUGGAAUUGGAGGUGUAGCGGUGGAAUGCGUAGAUAUCAGGAGGAACACCCAUGGCGAAGGCAGCAAACUGGUCAUCAACUGACGCUGAGGCGCGAAAGCGUGGGUAGCAAACAGG
rnacentral:rRNA from 1 species